rnacentral:rRNA from 1 species
UUAAAUUGAAGAGUUUGAUCAUGGCUCAGAUUGAACGCUGGCGGCAGGCCUAACACAUGCAAGUCGAACGGUAACAGGAAACAGCUU